CCCACGAUUGUGGCUCAUCUCAGACAGCAGCAUCACCUCUCAGUGGUUUGGGAUUCAGCUACUUUCACAGAAGGACAAGAAGGUGGAAGAAGCUCCUCACUCAGGCACCUAUUGGGAAAGAGUGGGUUCUAUCUCUCAGAGCUCAGUGAGGUUUAAAGAAGAGAAUGCAUUUUCACAAGAGGUACCAAGAAUAUCUUGAACCCAUGCUUCCCCUUUAAAACAAGGAUCUACUAGCAACACAGGACGCUGAAAAGAAAAUGAAAGUAUCGCUGCAUUCUCCAUCUGCUGAGGAGUCCAGUCUGCAGGAGAAAGCAUAUUUGUAUUGAGCUGAAGUUCAAUUACAGUACAAUUCUAUUACACAUAUUCUGGCCUAGCGGCAGGGUCACCACCUGUCCAGCCGCAAGGUGAGCCAGAAACGAUAAUAUGCAGACAUUGGGUGUUUCUAAUUGAAGUCACGCCACAUGACAAUUAAAACAAAAGUUGUUUUGCAGAAAUUUGAAGAGAAUUAAUCUUAUCUGCAUUAGGAAAAAACAUUGUUCAAUAAACAGAAUAAAAAAAUUA